GACGCCGCGUGAGGGAAGAAGGCCCUCGGGUCGUAAACCUCUGUCAGGAGGGAAGAAGUGGGUACCGGUGAACAGCUGGUGCCUUUGACGGUACCUCCAAAGGAAGCACCGGCCAACUCCGUGCCAGCAACGUCGGUGACUGAGCGGGCUGGCAAGGCGCAUA
rnacentral:rRNA from 1 species